rnacentral:rRNA from 1 species
UUAGUAACGGCGAGUGAAGCGGGAAAAGCUCAAAUUUUGAAAUCUGGCAGUCUUCGAUUGUCCGAGUUGUAAUCUAUAGAGGCGUUUUCCGUGCCGGACCGUGUCCAAGUCUCCUGGAAAGGAGUAUCAAAGAGGGUGAUAAUCCCGUACUUAACACGACCCCCGGUGCUCUGUGAUACGUCUUCUACGAGUCGAGUUGUUUGGGAAUGCAGCUCAAAAUGGGUGGUGAAUUCCAUCUAAAGCUAAAUAUUGGCGAGAGACCGAUAGCGAACAAGUACCGUGAGGGAAAGAUGAAAAGCACUUUGGAAAGAGAGUUAAACAGUACGUGAAAUUGUUGAAAGGGAAACGAUUGAAGUCAGUCGUGUUCCUUGGAUUCAGCCAGUUCUGCUGGUCUACUUCCUUGGAACGGGUCAACAUCAGUUUCGUCCGGUGGAUAAAGGUAGUAGGAAUGUGACUUCCCCGGAAGUGUUAUAGCCUAUUGCCACAUACACUGGGUGAGACUGAGGACUGCAGCUCGCCUUUAUGGCCGGUCUUCGGACACGUUCGAGCUUAGGAUGUUGACAUAAUGGCUUUAAACGACCCGUCUU